rnacentral:rRNA from 1 species
GUUAGGAAUCUUCCACAAUGGGGGCAACCCUGAUGGAGCAACACCGCGUGCUGGAUGAAGGCCUUCGGGUCGUAAACAGCUUUUGUAUACGAAGAAUAUGACGGUAAUAUACGAAUAAGGGUCGGCUAACUACGUGCCAGCAGCCGCGGUCAUACGUAGGACCCAAGCGUUAUCCGGAGUGACUGGGCGUAAAGAGUUGCGUAGGCGGCUUAUUAAGCGAGUAGUGAAAUCUGGUGGCUCAACCAUCAACACAUUGCUCGAACUGAUAGGCUUGAGAAUGGUAGAGGUAGUUGGAAUUUCUUGUGUAGGAGUGAAAUCCGUAGAUAUAAGAAGGAACACCAAUGGCGUAGGCAGACUACUGGACCAUUUCUGACGCUGAGGAACGAAAGCGUGGGGAGCGAACCGGAUUAGAUACCCGAGUAGUCC